AUUGAACGCUGGCGGCAGGCCUAACACAUGCGAGUCGAGCGGGGUUUUCGGACCUAGCGGCGGACGGGUGAGUAAUGCGUAGGAAGCUGCCCGAUAGAGGGGGAUACCAGUUGGAAACGACUGUUAAUACCGCAUAAUGUCUACGGACCAAAGUGUGGGACCUUCGGGCCACAUGCUAUCGGAUGCGCCUACGUGGGGUUAGCUAGUUGGUGAGGUAAUGGCUCACCAAGGCGACGAUCUCUAGCUGGUUUGAGAGGAGGAUCAGCCACACUGGAACAGUGACACGGUCCAGACUCCUACGGGAGGCAGCAGUGGGGAAUAUUGGACAAUGGGCGCAAGUCUGAUCCAGCCAUGCCGCGUGUGUGAAGAAGGCCUUCGGGUUGUAAAGCACUUUCAGCGAGGAGGAAGGGGUGUGUGUUAAUAGUACACACCUUUGACGUUACUCGCAGAAGAAGCACCGGCUAACUCUGUGCCAGCCGCCGCCGUAAUAC
rnacentral:rRNA from 1 species